rnacentral:rRNA from 1 species
AUUGAACGCUGGCGGCAGGCCUAACACAUGCAAGUCGAACGGCAGCACAGAGAGCUUGCUCUCGGGUGACGAGUGGCGGACGGGUGAGUAAUGUCUGGGAAACUGCCCGAUGGAGGGGGAUAACUAAUGGAAACGGUAGCUAAUACCGCAUAACGUAGCAAGACCAAAGUGGGGGACCUUCGGGCCUAACACCAUAGGAUGUGCACAGAUGGGAUUAGCUAGUAGGUGGGGUAAUGGCUCACCUAGGCGACGAUCCCUAGCUGGGCUGCAAGGAUGACCAGCCACCCUGGAACUAAGACACGGUCCAGACUCCUACGGGAGGCAGCAGUUGGGAAUAUUGCACAAUGGGCGCAAUCCUGAUGCAGCCAUGCCGCGUGUAUGAAGAAGGCCUUCUGGUUGUAAAGUACUUUCAGCGGGGAGGAAGGCGGUGGAGUUAAUAACUUCACCGAUUGACGUUACCCGCAGAAGAAGCACCGGCUAACUCCGUGCCAGCCGCCGCGUAA